AGAGAGAGACAUGCGCGCAUAUCAAUAAGCGGAGGAAAAGAAACUAACAAGGAUUCCCUUAGUAACGGCGAGUGAAGCGGGAAGAGCUCAAAUUUGAAAUCUUCAAGGUUCUACCUUGACGAAUUGUAGUUUAUAGAAGUGUUUUCUGUUAGUGGAGUUGGUAAAAGUUCUUUGGAAUAGGACAUCAUAGAGGGUGAGAAUCCCGUAUUUGGAUCCAUACUUCCUAGCGUUGUGAUACACUUUCAAAGAGUCGGAUUGUUUGGGGAAUGCAGUCCAAAAUGGGUGGUAAAUUUCAUCUAAAGCUAAAUAUUGGCGAGAGACCGAUAGCGAACAAGUACCGUGAGGGAAAGAUGAAAAGAACUUUGAAAAGAGAGUUAAACAGUACGUGAAAUUGUCAAAAGGGAAGCGUUUGACACCAGUGUUGUUUUUCCGAAAAUCAAUUACGAAUGUUUUAGUUUUUGAGGAGUUAUGACUUCAUCGGCUUGCUCCUUUCUUUAUGAAACUUUCUUAAUGCACUUUUCGGUUAACAAGUCAACAUCAAUUUCUUUUGUUGUAAAAGGGUAUGAGGAAGGUGGCUUUCUUUUCGGAGAAAGUGUUUAUAGCCUUGUGCCUCUGCAAUCGGAGAGAUUGAGGUCUGCAGCGUAGAUCCUUCGGGGUUAGAUACAUUUGUGCUAAGUUAUAGCUUUUCAUAGACAACUUGUUGACUAUGUUUAGUCUUGUAGCUUACUCGCUUACGCUAUUUUACCUACGCUUAGGAUGUUGAUAGUCACAGCGUGUAC
rnacentral:rRNA from 1 species